UACGUAGGGUGCAAGCGUUGUCCGGAAUUAUUGGGCGUAAAGGGCUCGUAGGCGGUCCAUCGCGUCGGGUGUGAAAGCCCCGGGCUCAACCUGGGAAUUGCAUUCGAGACUGAAUAGCUAGGGUGCGGAAGAGGGAAGCGGAAUUUCCGGUGUAGCGGUGAAAUGCGUAGAUAUCGGAAGGAACAUCAGUGGCGAAAGCGGCUUCCUGGACCAGUACCGACGUUCAGGCACGAAAGCGUGGGGAGCAAACAGG
rnacentral:rRNA from 1 species